ACGUGACGGAUUGGCGAUGUUUUGCCACAAAUAUGAUAAUAGAUGAGUGAAAAGUAUUAUUAUUAUUAUUUAUGUGGGUGACCCUAAGUUAUUGGGGAAAUACGGAGAAAAUUGAUAGAUGCUCCCGGAUAAUGUGGGAAAAUACAAGAGAGAUUACCUUUUCUAAAAUUCUGAGAGCUGCGAUAGAAUUUUAUGGCAGCUGCUACUUUUGGUAGAGUGAUUGAGACAUCUUUAAGAAAAACUCGCUGACUCUUUUAUUCGUCGAGCACACAUACGUAUUUCGCUCUGAAGAACUAUAAUUUUUAAGGUAUCUGACCGGCAAACGGAGGAGACACAGAAUUUUUAUAUUUUCUUUUGAACAG